rnacentral:rRNA from 1 species
UACGAAGGACCCGAGCGUUAUCCGGAUUUAUUGGGUUUAAAGGGUGCGUAGGCGGAUUAGUAAGUCAGUGGUGAAAGCCCAUCGCUCAACGGUGGAAUUGCCAUUGAUACUGCUAGUCUUGAGUAUGGUUGAGGUGGGCGGAUGUGUCAUGUAGCGGUGAAAUGCUUAGAUAUGACCCAGAACACCAAUUGCGAAGGCAGCUCGCUAAACCAUAACUGACGCUGAUGCACGAAAGCGUGGGGAGCAAACAGG